ensembl:snoRNA SNORD21 Small nucleolar RNA SNORD21
GCUAGUGAUGACACCCGCUAACUGAGCAGUUGGUAGUUGGUCCUUCGAUUGCAUAUGAUGCAAUAAUUGUUUCAAGACGGGACUGACGGCAGC